rnacentral:rRNA from 1 species
AUUGAACGCUGGCGGCAUGCUUUACACAUGCAAGUCGAACGGUAACAGCACUUCGGUGGCUGACGAGUGGCGAACGGGUGAGUAAUACAUCGGAACGUGCCUAGUAGUGGGGGAUAACUACUCGAAAGAGUAGCUAAUACCGCAUGAGAUCUAAGGAUGAAAGCAGGGGACCUUCGGGCCUUGCGCUACUAGAGCGGCUGAUGGCAGAUUAGGUAGUUGGUGGGAUAAAAGCUUACCAAGCCGACGAUCUGUAGCUGGUCUGAGAGGACGACCAGCCACACUGGGACUGAGACACGGCCCAGACUCCUACGGGAGGCAGCAGUGGGGAAUUUUGGACAAUGGGCGCAAGCCUGAUCCAGCAAUGCCGCGUGCAGGAUGAAGGCCUUCGGGUUGUAAACUGCUUUUGUACGGAACGAAAUGCCCUCUUCUAAUACAGGAGGGUCAUGACGGUACCGUAAGAAUAAGCACCGGCUAACUACGUG